AACACAUGCAAGUCGAGGGGCAGCAUGUCUUAGCUUGCUAAGGCUGAUGGCGACCGGCGCACGGGUGAGUAACACGUAUCCAACCUGCCGUCUACUCUUGGCCAGCCUUCUGAAAGGAAGAUUAAUCCAGGAUGGCAUCAUGAGUUCACAUGUCCGCAUGAUUAAAGGUAUUUUCCGGUAGACGAUGGGGAUGCGUUCCAUUAGAUAGUAGGCGGGGUAACGGCCCACCUAGUCAACGAUGGAUAGGGGUUCUGAGAGGAAGGUCCCCCACAUUGGAACUGAGACACGGUCCAAACUCCUACGGGAGGCAGCAGUGAGGAAUAUUGGUCAAUGGGCGAUGGCCUGAACCAGCCAAGUAGCGUGAAGGAUGACUGCCCUAUGGGUUGUAAACUUCUUUUAUAAAGGAAUAAAGUCGGGUAUGCAUACCCGUUUGCAUGUACUUUAUGAAUAAGGAUCGGCUAACUCCGUGCCAGCAGCCGCGGUAAUACGGAGGAUCCGAGCGUUAUCCGGAUUUAUUGGGUUUAAAGGGAGCGUAGAUGGAUGUUUAAGUCAGUUGUGAAAGUUUGCGGCUCAACCGUAAAAUUGCAGUUGAUACUGGAUGUCUUGAGUGCAGUUGAGGCAGGCGGAAUUCGUGGUGUAGCGGUGAAAUGCUUAGAUAUCACGAAGAACUCCGAUUGCGAAGGCAGCCU
rnacentral:rRNA from 1 species